UGAAUAGGUAAGAACAUCACAUGAUUAGCACAAUGGUAAGUAAAAUACAUAUGCUGACUCCCCAAAGUAUCUCACAACUAGAUUAAACACCCCUCCUGCAACGCAUUCUCACUGAACCUUUCUUUCCUCCAUGGGGCAGGGGGUGGGGGUGGGGUGGGGGGAUGCUGGGACCUCACUGGCCCCAUUAGAGGUGAGCUAGCCAAGAUCCUGAUGAGAGCUGACUCUGCCCACCUUCCUGCCCUGAACCCUGACUACAGAAGUUUGCGUAGCCACCAUCACCACCCAGCUCUCCCACUUUCCUGUCCCCAGCCAUGUCAGCCAAGGAGACCGAGGCGGGUAACCUCAGGCCCAUGCUGUCCACACCCAGGCACUGUGCCUGAUCAUAUCUGACUCCCUGCCAGGAACGCUCAAGCUCACACACCUGCCUGCGGCUCUCAGUUCCCUGUUCAGGCUGCUCCCUCCCUGAUCCCUGCAGAGGGUGGAAGCUUCCCCCUGUGGACAGCAAUCCGUGCUGCAGCACCAGCAGGGCGCCCUUCCCUUCCCACCGCUGCUGCUGCCAUCUUAGAAGCACCGCAGACACCAGCUCACCUGCCCUUCACUCUACCUGACCCAGCCUCCACCCCCAAGAAGAGGCAUCAUUGCAAGACCGAGGGAUGAACUCAUACUUUUUAAUAAAGGAAUCUUCAAAUAGCCCUUGUAGCUAUUCCAUCAAUCCACUGGAGCACGAGCCACAGAGACGACUCAUUCACUAGGAAAACCACAAGAUCAGAGAAGAGGCUGCUGAGGCUGGGAGGAGAGAUGGCUUGUGUGGUCUCAGCCGCCACUGCCACCACCACCAAUGAAACAUCUACUCCCUCAGAGGGGCUGGCCCUGUGGGGCCUGCAAAGAGGAGAAGCCCACGUUGUUGGGCUGCCCUCCCUGCCUUGUGAAGGUGGGUGCUCUGAUGCCAUGUUCCUGUCCUCAGAUUGAACCCCAGAAGGCAAUAUCACAGAGUCCUAUGGACCCAGUGCUGAGCUGGGGCAAGAGCCCUCCUCUGAAUGCUGCUCUGAGUUGCUGGGCAACUGCUCCCCUUCUCUGACUCAGUGGUACAGGGGAAAGAGGUGGGAGGUCCCUUCCUGGGCAGGCUGAGGUACCCAGGUUUGUGGAUGCUGUCCUUCACUCUCCUCCCCCCGACUCCUGCAUCUACUCCCUUCUCCCCAUGCACAUACCCAUCCAGAGCCACAUCAGACCAGGAGCAACAGAGCCAGAGCAGGUGCACAGAGCCAGACAACCAUCCCCAGGAGCCCCUCAGCCCAGGCAUCUCAGCCUAGCCUCGUCCCACUCCUGUGGGCAGGGAGAACCCAGCUCAGGGACCUGGGCAAGGGGUAAGAUGGUGUCUCCUGCCCCAUUAUCCCUCUGUGGGGGUGGGGCAGGGAUGGAGGUGCCUUGGCUGCCUCUGACACAGCUCCUCUCCUUGGGUAAGAGCCUCUUUCUCUUCCGCAAGCCAAAGCCAACAAGCCAAUUAAACCCUGAGAAAGCAGAAUUGAUCUGCAGGCCAAGGGAUUACGUUGAUCUGCAGUGCUGGUACCCAGGGGGCCACGGCUGCCUCCCCCUCGAGCCUGGAGCUCCUUCUACUGCCAUCUUCAGCUGAGCAAUGAGCAAUCCUCCCCAUGCACAUCUCUGUCCUCCCGCACCCCUCCACCCCCGCCACACCCUGUCUGACUGCCUAUCCCCUCUCUGUUGGUCUGGGCUGAGCCUGAGGCCAUCUGUUCAGACCUAUUCAUUCACAUCACAGAAGUGCAGGUGAGGUGACAGCCAUGAAGCCUCUGUCCUUUGGGCGAUCUCUCUUCAUCUCAGUCAACCAGGGUAGGGGGCUACUGCUCUUGACCUCAGUUUGCAGUUGUGACCUGCAAGGACUCAGAGUACCCAGCACCCCAAGGGUUAACCGGUAGCAUUCCCCACACAGAGCGUGGGAGUGGGUGAACAUGAAGCUUAGGGAAGCUUCUCUGGUAAAUAAAAAAAGAGGAUGACUCGCAAUUACCAUAUCAAUUGUUUCUGGGUAAAUAGGUGCUGUCUAAGAGAUUUUUUAAAUAGAUUAUUCCUUUAAAUAGGUUAAGCACCCGUUGGCAGCCUCAUUUACAUUAUUCAUUUGCUGGGAAAUCCUUUUUUCGGGGAUGGUGCAGAAAUAAACUUCAGCCUCAGUCUGAAUUCCAUUCAGAGACUGGAUUAAUGUGGUUUGGGUACUUCCCUGCCAGCAAUGUACCAGGACAGGGGCUGCUCUGUGCUCUGGGCUGGGUGAGGGAAAUCCAGAACUGCUCUAGGGAGGAUAUGAACUCCCAGAAAGCAGUGAAGGAGCCAGUGCUUUAUUAUGGCUGUGAAACACCGAGAUGCAGUCAGGGAUCCAGGGGGAUACACGGGAGGGAGUACAUAGGAUUUCCAUAGGCAGAGAAGAGAGAGGGCAGACCCAGUGGAGGAAGAGCUUGAACAAAGGCUUUUAUAAACAGGACUGAAUAUGAUGCAUACAACUUCUUCGGCUCCGUCAAUCACCUCUGUCCCCUUCUCCCUCAUCAUCCGUCCUCCAGACAGAGCGAAAUGGGCUCCUCUCCCAGUAUUGCCAAGCCCACUCCACAAAUGCCCCAGGUCUGGAGUCCCUGGCCGCCAGCACAUUGUCUUGUAGGGCUGACCCAGAUCGUUCCAGCUGCAGUGGACGGGCGGACACUCAGAAGGGCAGCCUGGAUGGAGAUACCAAGGAAAUCAGCACCCUGGCCGUGACUCCCCGGUCACCAAAGCCCUCAGCGUGGUCACCCAAGGAGGCUGAGCUGGCUCUGCAACCUGGCCAGCUUCAGGUUCUCAGAAUGUUUGCUGAAGCUGUCACCAGUGAGCACGUGGACUUCAAAGUAAUUAUGAAAGCUAUAGGAACAAGAAGUAAUGCGUUCAUUCAUUAGCAACAAAUUACACUAAAUUAUCUUAGCAAAUAAGGCAAAAUGUCAGCUCAGUGGCUGGCAGAGACACAUGUUGGUCCUUACUCCCAGCGCCCUGAGAAUGGGGUCACAUUCUGCAGGAACCGCUUAGGAGAGGAUAUUGAAACACAAGAGGCAGGAAGGGAAUGGGGUAGGGUGCAGACUAGGACCCUGGGAGCCUGACAGUCUGUGAAUCACGCGACUAGACAGGUAGACUCCAGAUAGGUAAGUUUUAAGACUGAGGAAGGACUAGAGGCCAGAGACCUUGCAGGAGGGUAGUGGAAGGCAGUGGAGGAGGAAAGAUGCUACACUCUUGUCACUCUGGAUAGAGCAGGUCUGCAGAACCAUGGAGGCCACAGAAUAUCCUGGGGCAGAAGCAAGUUUGAGGCAGGGAGGAAAGAAAACAGGAAGAGCGUGAAGGGCGCUUCCUUGAGCCUGGCACACGUGCACAGACUGCUGGGCUGCAGCGAGCAGGACAGAUGGUCCUUCCCUUCGUGGUGCUGGAGGGAGGGAGGAAGCCAGAACCUGCCAUGUGACUGUGCACAUCUGGAGGCCUGGGGGAGACAAGGGAGGGAGAAGGGGAGGCAGUGGGAGGAAGAGGAGGGAGCCCCCUUUCUCCUGUCCUCAGGUGAAGGGGGCUGAGUCAUCAUCCCCGACACCCCAUCUUUUCUCACUUCCCUGGAGCCUGGGUGCGUGGUCUGACCAAGGGUAGGAACUCAGGGUUCCUGCUCUCCUCUGGGCCCCACAACACAGGGAAUAGGGCCCCUCUCUUCUCCACACUAAACAAGAUCGCUUCCUUUAACCUUUCUUGCACCUGUAUUGUCUGUGAUUCCUUUAGUGAGAAAACAAAUACCCUUGGGUCUGAUUCAGUCAUCACUGAGAACAGCUGGCUUGUCUCAUGUGCCUGGUCUCCAAAGCCUCGGCUCAGGGCUGUCUCUCUGAAUCCUAUUUCUCAUUAACUUGUAAGCUAGGCAGGAGCCCCUGGGGUAGGCACAUCAACUAUUUAGCAAUGAUCUCAAACAGCUGCAUCAGAACUUCUAGGGGUGGGGCCCAGGCACUACUCUGAAUAAAACUUUCUUAGGUGAUUCUAAGGUGCAGCCAGGGUUGAGAAUCAUUGGACGAAUGUGAUCUGGAGCUGUAUCUCUAGGAGCUCAAGGAUCAAGGAGGUGAGAGGCUGAUCUACUGUAAGCUGAAACAUUUUGAUCCAUGGCAGGGCCUCCAUCUGAAAGGGACAACAAUGAAACAUGUCCAGAGGAGGGCAAUAGGGGUGAAGAAAUCAUAUGAGCUGAGGGAAGUGGAGGGGAGGGGGUUCUUUUGCUUCUCAGGUGCUGGGGAAAGGCUGGGGACAAAGGUCGCAGACCCUCUGUCUCUGAGGGCUGGGAUGCGCACGCCCCAUGAGACCCAGUGCUUCCUGUGCUCUAAUGAGCACCACCUCAUUAGUGGUGAAAUAGUGUCACCAUAAUUACCUGGAGCUGGUGGAGCCAAAUGGCCAGGUCAUGAACACCCUCAGACACAAGUGCAGGGAAUUUAACUUGCCCUGAGGCACCUGCAUCUAGUGAGAUGCUGGUGAACGUGGCCCCAUUCCUGUGGUCAGGUGUGGUGGGUACAGGAUGCAGGGCUCAGCCCAAGGCCCAGCGCACACUCAGACGGCUGCUCCCACCCCACCCAGCAAGAGGCAGACGCACUCACCUCCAAGACUGGGGUCCCAGAACCACGAAGACCGCUAGCUCCUGGGGAACUGAGGCGGGGCCACCACAAGGUAGGUGAUGAAGGGGAAGGUGGUGCAGGGCGGGUGGGGGAGAAAGGGAGGCCCACAGGCCCUGUCUGCUGCUGAGUCGGGCUCCGUGGCGGAGUCCCUGAGAGCCUGGCUGGGGCGGCAGUUCCCAGCACCAUUUUUGCCCUGUCUAGAAUCCAUUUUGCUAGUGGCCCUAAGUGUUCUUCAUUUACAAGUUCUUGCUGCCACAGGGACUGGCUACAAAGGCAACCCAGGGGCUUCCCUGGUGGCGCAGUGGUUGAGA